rnacentral:rRNA from 1 species
UACGGGGGGGGCAAGCGUUGUCCGGAUUUACUGGGCGUAAAGGGCGCGUAGGCGGCCACCGCAAGUCGACUGUGAAAUCUCCGGGCUUAACCCGGAAAGGUCAGCCGAUACUGCGGGGCUAGAGUGCAGAAGGGGCAACUGGAAUUCUCGGUGUAGCGGUGAAAUGCGUAGAUAUCGAGAGGAACACCUGCGGUGAAGGCGGGUUGCUGGGCUGACACUGACGCUGAUGCGCGAAAGCUAGGGGAGCGAACGGG